rnacentral:rRNA from 1 species
UGAGAUUUUAACACGAAGUGAGUGGCGGACGGGUGAGUAACACGUGGGUAACCUGCCCAGAAGCAGGGGAUAACACCUGGAAACAGAUGCUAAUACCGUAUAACAGAGAAAACCGCCUGGUUUUCUUUUAAAAGAUGGCUCUGCUAUCACUUCUGGAUGGACCCGCGGCGCAUUAGCUAGUUGGUGAGGUAACGGCUCACCAAGGCGAUGAUGCGUAGCCGACCUGAGAGGGUAAUCGGCCACAUUGGGACUGAGACACGGCCCAGACUCCUACGGGAGGCAGCAGUAGGGAAUCUUCCACAAUGGACGCAAGUCUGAUGGAGCAACGCCGCGUGAGUGAAGAAGGGUUUCGGCUCGUAAAGCUCUGUUGUUAAAGAAGAACGUGGGUGAGAGUAACUGUUCACCCAGUGACGGUAUUUAACCAGAAAGCCACGGCUAACUACGUGCCAGCAGCCGCGGUAAUACGUAGGUGGCAAGCGUUAUCCGGAUUUAUUGGGCGUAAAGCGAGCGCAGGCGGUCUUUUAAGUCUAAUGUGAAAGCCUUCGGCUCAACCGAAGAAGUGCAUUGGAAACUGGGAGACUUGAGUGCAGAAGAGGACAGUGGAACUCCAUGUGUAGCGGUGAAAUGCGUAGAUAUAUGGAAGAACACCAGUGGCGAAGGCGGCUGUCUGGUCUGUAACUGACGCUGAGGCUCGAAAGCAUGGGUAGCGAACAGGAUUAGAUACCCUGGUAGUCCAUGCCGUAAACGAUGAUUACUAAGUGUUGGAGGGUUUCCGCCCUUCAGUGCUGCAGCUAACGCAUUAAGUAAUCCGCCUGGGGAGUACGACCGCAAGGUUGAAACUCAAAAGAAUUGACGGGGGCCCGCACAAGCGGUGGAGCAUGUGGUUUAAUUCGAAGCUACGCGAAGAACCUUACCAGGUCUUGACAUCUUCUGCCAACCUAAGAGAUUAGGCGUUCCCUUCGGGGACAGAAUGACAGGUGGUGCAUGGUUGUCGUCAGCUCGUGUCGUGAGAUGUUGGGUUAAGUCCCGCAACGAGCGCAACCCUUAUUACUAGUUGCCAGCAUUCAGUUGGGCACUCUAGUGAGACUGCCGGUGACAAACCGGAGGAAGGUGGGGACGACGUCAAAUCAUCAUGCCCCUUAUGACCUGGGCUACACACGUGCUACAAUGGAUGGUACAACGAGUUGCGAAACCGCGAGGUUUAGCUAAUCUCUUAAAACCAUUCUCAGUUCGGACUGUAGGCUGCAACUCGCCUACACGAAGUCGGAAUCGCUAGUAAUCGCGGAUCAGCAUGCCGCGGUGAAUACGUUCCCGGGCCUUGUACACACCGCCCGUCACACCAUGNGAGUUUGUAACACCCAAAGCCGGUGGGGUAACCUUUUAGGAGCUAGCC